CUUCUGAAUGGUAAAUGAGCAUUGGUUUCAACUCAAAGUUACCAGCUGCAUUAGCUCCUAACAAGAGGAAAACAUCUCAUCCUUAAGACACAGACCCAGUGCCAGCAUUUUGUGAAGUGUUCCCCUCUGACCCGGGAGAGUCGGCAGCCUGGAUCAUGUUUUCAUGGGACUCUGUUCUUAUCUCUACUCUCACGUCUACCUAUCUUCCUCCUCCUACCAGACCAGAAAAUUCAAGUUGAUUCCCAACUGGAUUAUGAGCAGGAGAAAUCUGGAUGCAGAGACAGAUGCAUACAGGGGAAGACAAUGUGAAGACACACAAGGAGAACACAGAGGCUGGGAAUGAUGCUUCAAUGAGCCAAGGAACGAAGAUGAUUGGCAACCAGCAAUAGCUAGGAGAAGGCAAGGAAGGAUUCUCCCACAGGUUUUAGAGAGAACAUAGCCUCAACACCUUGAUUUUACACUUCUGGUCUCCAAAACUGGGAGAUAAUAAAUUUCUCUUGUUUUAAGUCACCUAGUUUAUGGUAUUUUAUUAUAAUACCCUGGGAAACUAAUGCACCCACCAAAUAAAACACUGCCCAUCUAGGGUGCUGGCAGGAUAAGGGGAACAUGGAAUGAGUGAUGGAAAAAGAAGGCUCUGAUGUAUCACCUUGGCCCUAGUGUCCAUCUACAGAGUCUGGGGGUGAAACAACUACAUUUAGUUAUGUCUUUUCCUUGCAUUCUUACAUGAAGGGCACUCACGGUGGCCAAUGUCACAAUUUAGAUUUAGGUGAAAUUGAAAUGACAUCACCACAUGAUGAUACAUUGGCUGAUGGAACUUUGUGCAAAGAAACCAAUGCCCUCAUCCAAGCAAAAGGCAAGAAUGUGCUGAGAGGUACGAGGGACGGGCGGGCUGGUUAUUUUUCAUCUGCCACUUCCUGUCUCACCCCAUCCCAGUCCAUUUUCCUUCCUUCA